CGUCCCUCGAUGCGAUGCCUCAUGCCUGCCCGCCGCCGGGGGCCGCCGAAGAGGCGGCGCGCAUCUCCGAGCUCCAUCUCCGGCGGCGGCCACGCACCCCUCUGCUUGCCUAUGCGCGCGGUGGCGGAAGGCCUCAACGCACGCCACGGCGCGCGCACAAUACGUUCGACGAAAUGUCUAACCGAUAACUGAGGAGCUUCUCUCUCCAUCAUCUCGCCGUCCAUCACUCCAUCAGCACGGAGCUUGACGAGCAAAUGGUCACAAAAGGUAAGCCUAUGGACUCUGAUGAUUCGUACUAGGUGUAUGCUUUUUUAUCAGCAAGUCUAGUACUCUAGUUGAGAAAAAAAAUACUCCCUCCGUCUCAUAAUAUAAGGGAUUUUGAUUUUUUACUUGCAAUGUUUAACCACUCAUCUUAUUAAAAAAAUUUAAAAUUAUUAUUUAUUUUAUUUAUGACUUACUUUAUUAUCUAUAGUACUUUAAGCGCAACUUUUCGUUUUUUAUAUUUGCAAAAAAAAUCUGAAUAAGACGAGUGGCCAAACGUUGUAAGUAAAAACUCAAAAUCCCUUAUAUUGUGGUACGGAGGGAGUAUGUCGUAACGGCUGGCUUUACUCACAGGAAGUUGCUACCAUGUCGGAUACGAAACCCCAUAUAUUUUGAAGUUGUGGAAUUUCUAUACCCAUCAAAAAGGGAAAAUUUUGUAGCAUUUUAACACGGUUCAGAAUGGUUACAGCUAUCUAGCCCUUAUCAUCCAAAUUAGUACACUUAAUUGGUAGAUGAUCAAAAAGGUUUGUGUUCUGCGUAAACUGCCAUCAGGAGACGGCACGGCAGGGCACCAACCAAACUGGGCUUUUAUCAUCUGUUCGGCACAGCGGCCCUGGCGUUCUUGCUGAUUCAUGCAGCUGCUGGAACUUGUGAGCUUGUGGUAUACAGGAGCUUGAACAGGGCAGUAAUCAGGUUCCACCGCCACCUCCGUCACUUGACACAUUCCUUAUCACGAAUCUCACAGACAAGGUACAGUCUCGUCUGCUGUCCUUCCUCCCUACCAUCACAAAUUUAGUCAUAUCAGAAAGUCCAGAGUUGACAUCUCUGCAGCUGGGAUACUCCAAGGCACUGAAAGAGUUGGAAAUUGUAGACUGCAAGUCACUUGCUUCAGUUGAGGGCUUUGGAUCCUUGACAAACCUUAGGUUCUUGACAGUAUAUGAAUCGCCCAGCAUGCCUCAAUGUUUUGAGAUUCUAUCACAACAACAUGGGGCCUCUGAGAUCUUGUCCCGACUGGAAAAUCUUCAGAUCAGUGAUGGCUUUAUCCUUACUGUUUCCCUCUGCAAACAGCUCACGUCUCUGAGAGAUCUAUUCUUCUGGCCUGAACGAAGCAAGCCUGAUGCGACGAUGAUGGGUCUGACAGAGGAACAAGAGAGAGCACUCCAGCUUCUGACAUCCCUCGAACGUCUCAACUUUUGGGGGUUGCCGAAUCUCUUGUCCCUUCCUGCAAAUCUAGCAAGCCUGACCUCCCUCGAGUGGUUAGAUAUCUCAGACUGCCCCCGCAUGGCAAGGCUGCCAGAGAUGGGCCUUCCACCAUCGUUGAGGAGAUUAUCUUUAUGCCGUUGCAGCGACGACCUAAGUAUGCAGUGCAGAAUGGUAGCAACGGAGAAGCUACAGGUCGAGAUUGAUGACGAAACUAUUGAUUAAUCACUUGAGUUAUCGGUACAGGGGUUAAAGAGGUAGGCAGCAAGAAGGCAGUUACCAGCGGAAAGGAAUGGGCAUUUUGUCUUGAGAACUAAUUGAUACCCUCAGCCUCCUCUUGCUUAAAGUAAUUAAUUGAUCUUCCUGAAGAGUGCAGACUGCAGCCUUACAAGAUUUUGUACAUAUUGCUGCUACCUGCUCUGCACUCACUUCCUUCAGCGCAUGUGUUUGUGGAGUUGUCAGUGUGUCAUAUCUUUGGCCUUGCAAGGACUAAUAUGUACGCUUGAUUGGUGUGAAAGCCCUUGCUUAAAGUGAUGAAUGUUUUGCUCCGGGCAUAUAAGACAUUGUUCUCAUUCUUGUGCAUAUCCUGGUUGGCGCCUCACAUUGGCGUGCUGUGGGUGGCCAGAAAAUUUAACUGCCAACAUUGUAUGUCUUGAUUUUGUCAUUCUUUUUGGAAGGUCUUCCUAAAUGCAUUGCACAGGAGGGACAAAGUUGUUCCAAUAAGCCUGCUCAAAGCGCAUGCAACACUCUACUUAUUGAAGGCUUUGAUAGUUAUAUUGGAGUAGACCACAGAUCCGAAGCUCGCACAAAGAACAUUUUGGUCCUAAGGGUUAUGAUACUGGUGCAAUUAAAGGGUCAGUUGGCCCGUUACAUAUAUGAAAAAUAAGGAUACAUGGAUUUUUUUUUUGAACUGAAAAGCAUACGUGGAUUUUGCAGACAAUUGUUCCUUAUCGAAAUCAUUUGAGCUGAAUCGGUCUGACAUCGAUGGCUUCAACGUUCGGUGAUGAUGACUAAUUACAGUUUGAGCCGAUUUCGUUCUAUAGUACCGUAGCAAUUUCUUCCCAGUUCCCUUUAUGUGAUUCCAGUCAUUGCAAAUGAGUUCUUGUGGAUUGGCCAAACCGUUUAUAUUACAUUUUCUAUUACUCCUUCCUGUCAAAAGUAUUUGAAGUCUAGAACAGUAUUCUGUCAAAGAUUUAAAAUUUUAACCAUCUUGUUGUGACCGUGUUGUAAUUUUGCCUGACAGUAUUUUGCAUUUUUGCAACCUCUUGAUUAAUGCAAUCAUUCUUGUCCUGUAA